AGAAUUGUGCAGUUGGUGAAUUCUGCAGAAAAGUGAUUUUUUUUUUUUUUUGACAUUGGUGUUGAAUAUAUUAUAAAACCGACAUUCAACACAUAAGUAAAAAUCUGACUUAUACUUUGUGGCAGUUCGUUAGCAGAAAAAAAAAGCUCAUCUUUUAACACCAAAUUAAUAACAAAUAAUAUUGUU